AUACUCUAGUGGAAAAAAGAUAAGAACCAGGAGUAGUAUAAGAAUCUUGCCACUUUUCCCUCUCAGUAGUGGCAGUGACCAUGACCACAAGAAAGACCAAGCUAAACUUCUAAGACCAUUACGGAAAGACGUGUCCAGGCAAAAUGACACCACGCCUCCGCAAAUUUCUGAAACAAAAUUCCCAAGUAGUUCUACCUUUUUAACUCUUGAAGAUUCUGCGAAAAAAACAGCAAAUGAUGGAAGAUGUUGUGUUUUAAUUUUGCUUUGACAUUGGAGAUCAGCUUAUGUACAAGAAUUGCUGGUGUUCUUCCUCUUUUAAAGAAGCAAGACGACUCAAAUGAUGACCUGUAGCAGGGGAUGGUAAACUUUUGUCUGUGAAGGACCGGAUAGCCUUCGAGGUCCUCACCCACUAAGCAAGUUCUCUUCCUCAGAGCACUCAGAAGAUGAAGAAAAUGUAUAUAAGGCACUACUUAAUUGUUGAUUGUGAACCAAGAGUCAUUACUGGAGAGUACUAGCUUCAAACAUACGCUGCAAAACUUGGAAGAUAGAGACUCAAUAAGCUAGAGAAGUUUCAGAAUUUUGUUCUUCAAGGGUUGAGCAAUCUUGAGAAGGAUAUUGAGCCCCUGGAACACCUUGAAAAGGACGCUCUGGAGUUCGAGGGGAAACAGUCUGCUGAUCUGAAAUUGUUCUGUGAUCUGCAAGUGCUGAGGCUUAAUCCAAUGCAGCUUUCAUAAGGAAAACCGAAGCCUGGUUUGAUUAUUGCAUCCCUGAGCUUCUGUGUUGAAAAUUGGUUUGAGGAGUGAAGAAUAGAAGAGGUGAACCCAGCUGGAAGGCUUUUGGAGUCCAAGAUGGUGGCUCUAAGCAGGAGAGUAGCAGUAGAGAAGUCUGAACGCCCAAAGAGGAAGAUAAAAAGCAAGUUUGCUGUUGGCUCAGCCACACAAGCCGUCCUUUGGGGCUCUGUGCUCAUUCAAUUUGCUCCACUCCAAACAGAAUCCCUGGGAACUGCAGAGUUGGAAUAGAAUAUAGCAUGUUGGUAGUUGUAAUUGUGUUAUUAUCCAUUUGUUCAUAAAAGUUAACCUUUAGUAUUAAAAUUUGGUCUGAUAGUAAAAAGUUCAGGAUAUUCAGCAA